UUGGCUCAGGACGAACGCUGGCGGCGUGCUUAACACAUGCAAGUCGAACGGAAAGGCCCAGCUUGCUGGGUACUCGAGUGGCGAACGGGUGAGUAACACGUGGGUGAUCUGCCCUGGACUCUGGGAUAAGCCUGGGAAACUGGGUCUAAUACCGGAUAUUCACUUUCUCUCGCAUGGGGGUUGGUGGAAAGCUUUUGCGGUUCAGGAUGGGCCCGCGGCCUAUCAGCUUGUUGGUGGGGUAAUGGCCUACCAAGGCGACGACGGGUAGCCGACCUGAGAGGGUGAUCGGCCACACUGGGACUGAGACACGGCCCAGACUCCUACGGGAGGCAGCAGU
rnacentral:rRNA from 1 species